rnacentral:tRNA from 1 species
GGUGGCUCAGUUGGUAGAGUGCUUGCCUUGCAUGCACGAGGCCCUGAGUUCGCUUCCUCAGCACCA